UUCCCCUCCGAGGAGAAGGCUGCCAGCUUAAGCUAGUUCUCCUCUUCCAAAGCUCCCUCCAAUCAUCGGGAAUAAUCUUGCUAGAGGAAAGAACAGAGGCAUCGCUUUGGAAGAAAAUAUUUCUAGAUGCUGAUCGGAUAAACAGAAGAUUUCUGUCCUGACUACAUUAUACUGUACUUGGCUAAUGCACACUUAUUGUUAUAAUGUGCUAAGAUUGGAUCAAACCAUGUUUUGCAAAACCCUGGUAGUACACAAGAAAUGAAGAGGGGAUCCACUAGAAAAUGUUGACAUUAGCAGUAAUGUUUUGAUAAAAGUAUGUACCACAA